GGGCCCUUAGCUCAGCGGUUAGAGCAGGGGACUCAUAAUCCCUUGGUCCGGGGUUCAAAUCCCUGAGGGCCCACCA
rnacentral:tRNA from 1 species